AUAUCAGCUUAAUACAAACUAUUUUAAAAUGUCUUAUGCCCUUGACAGGGAGGGCCCAGGUACUGGCUCCUUGCAGUACAAGCCAGCAGUGGCCCUGUCUUUCUUACAAAAAGGCCCCAGUCACAUGAUGAUGAGGCUAGGUCUAUUCCUGUCCUCCUUCUCUUCCUCAUAUUUCCUUCUUCUUCAAGGUCUCAACGUUUAUUGAACUUAGACUCAUGAAUGAGUUACUCGACUAGGCUUGCAGAAUCUAUUUGUUCUUUUCCAUCCCCAAAAAUCAAAUGGUUGCUCCAGGAAAAUGCCCCCUUUGUGGCAGGGUGCAGGAAAAAGAGUGGCGAUGAAACCAAAAAUUAAAAUGACCGAAGUCCCAUAUGCUCCAGGAAUAUGUCCUGGGGAUGGUAGUGGAGGACAGGGGGAGAAUGUUGGUGAGGUCAAAAUUUUAAAAGUUUCAAGUCCUAUAUCUUGACAUCCCGAAUGUGGGUACCAGACACAGUACAAACCUUCUCAAAGCCCAGUUACAUAUUCCAAACCAAACGCGGGCUCUUGAAAGGUGCUGAGGUGAGGAUGAGAUACAGGAUCGCCUGAAGACCAUUUCUUCCUCUGUUAGGGACCUGCUUGACUCCAGCUGACUCGGUCGAGGAGGAAGAACCUCCCACUCCUCUUGGGCUCCCUGCAAGUAGAGAUACCCCUGCCACCCAGUUGCAAGAAGUUGCCACUUCCCCCUCAGGCCGACUGAAAGUUCGGGCGACGUCUGGGCCGUCAUUUGAAGGCAUUUCCUUUUCUUUAAGAACAAAGGUUGGAGCCUGAGCCUUGCAGCACUGGGCGCAGGAAAGUACACGGCGCGUGUCGCGAGAAAAAAAAAUACACACACGCAGCGACACACGAGAAAGGGAAAGGGGAAAACACCAAUUCCCCGGGCACUGGGCUUUUUCGACUUUUCCUUUAAAAAGAAAAAAGUUUUCAAGCUGUAGGUUCCAAGAACAGGCAGGAGGGGGGAGAAGCGGGGAGUUUGCAGAAAGGCGCCUGGUCGGUUAUGAGUCACAGUGAGUUAUAAAAGGGUCGCACGUUCGCAGGCGCGGGCUUCCUGUGAGCGGCCGAGCCCGGGCCCCAGCGCCGCCUGCAGCCUCGGGAAGGGAGCGGACCGCGGAGUCCCGAGCCGCCCGCAGAGCCAGCGCGGGGAACCAAGGAGACGCUCCUGGCACAGCAGAUAACUUGUCUGCAUUUCAAGAACAACCUACUAGAGACCUUACCUGUCACCUUGGCUCUCCCACCCAAAGGAGAUGGCUCUAAGGGUGGCACAAACCAGGAAGGGGAAAUCUGUGGUUUAAAUUCUUUAUGCCUCAUCCUCUGAGUUCUGAAGGCUGUAUGCUGUUAAUGCUAAUCGUGAUAGGGGUUUUUACCUCCAACUGACUCCUACAUGUUAGCAUUAACAGGGUAUGAUGCCUGUUACUAGCAUUCACAUGGAACAAAUUUCUGCCGUGGGAGGAUGACAAAGAAGCAUGAGUCACCCUGCUGGAUAAACUUAAGACUUCAGGCUUUACCAUUUUUCAAUUUUGUUCAUCAUAAUCUGGUCACUAGGAUGCUCAACCUUAAACUAAGUUUUAAAAGUAAGGUUAUUUAAAAGAUUUAUCAGUAGUAUCCUAAAUGCAAACAUUUUCAUUUAAACGUCACAUCCACAUUUGUUUUUAUCCUUAACAGAAAAUGUAUUCAUGUCAUUUUUAACUGCAGGUUUUGGCUUGUUCAUUGUAAUAUUCAUAAGCACCUUUGAUUCAACUGUUAGAAAUGUGAGCUAAACAUAAAUUUCUAUCAUAUUUUUGUAGUUAAAAAUUAGAAGGACAACUAACCUCCACUUAUAUUAUGGAUUGUCUGGCAACAUUUUUUAAAAGAUUUAAAAAUUGGUAUUUUCCCCUAUGUAACAAUUUCCUGUUUAGACAACUUCAGUUUAAAAGUAAUACUUUGAUUUGACUCUUAAAGGGAAAUUGAAAGGCUGUGACCCUGAAUUUUUUAAAUAGAAUAUUUUUAACAAUUAGCAUGGUAAAUAACAUCUGAAAGCUAAUGGGAUGUUUUUUCUGUACAAGAUACAAACAUUUAAUCAAAAAAUUUCACAUUUGAAGUGAAGACCCAAACCUAGGUUCAAGUUCAAUAGCUUAGCCACAUAAUACUGCCGUGUAAGCAGAGAAUCCACCUUUCCACUCUAAACCUGUUUCUUCAUCCAUAAAAUGGGGAUAAUACUUAAUGUAAGGCUUAAGUGAGAUAGAUAAUUAUUCUGUAAGAUAAUCAAGUGUUACAUUGUUAUAGAUUAAUCCAAGAAGUAGUAACCCUACUUUGUUAGAGAAGAGAAAAGCUAAUGAUUUGAUUUGCAAACUUUUUAAGGUUUGGAUUUCUAUGUAGUUUUUCUACAUAACCAUCACUUAAAAAUAUGUAACCAAAUGUAAUUGUUAGUAUAUUUAAUAUACACUUGUUUUAACAACUCUUCUCAACAUUUUGUCAGGGUUAUUGACUGUAACCAAAUAAAUCUCAUGAGUCUUUAGUUGAUUUAAAAUAA